GUUAUAUGUGUCACACGGGACUGCCGGUCUUAAGCCGGAGGAAGUGGGAUGAUGUCAAGUCAGCAUGGCCUUUAUAUCCCUGGGCUACACACACGCUACAAUGGCCAACACGAAUAGGUUGCUAAGCCGCGAGGUGGCGCCAAUCCAUAAAGUUGGUCUCAGUUCAGAUUGUAGGCUGCAACCCGCCUGCAUGAAGAUGGAGUUGCUAGUAACCGCAGGUCAGCUAUACUGCGGUGAAUACGUUCCCGGGGCUU
rnacentral:rRNA from 1 species